rnacentral:lncRNA from 1 species
UGCGGUAUGGGCUUUGCUCAUUGUUGAGGCCGUACGUGGAGUUGUUAGUUUCUGGGUCAUUUUUUUCUCUUAUAGAGAGUUGGCAAUCAAACAACAUAGUCUUUUUUUUCAAUAGCUACACUAAAUUUCAAAACAUAUAAUUAACUCAAUUAAAAAAAACAUACAAGACUAACAAAGGCAAGAGUCUCCUGACUUUAGACAGGCGCAAAAUUCGGCGGUUCUAAAUAUGUUUUGUGAGAUCUCAACACUCCCCCUAUUCCUCUAGCCAAUGUAGAAUAAAUAAAUCCAUAGCAAUACCGAAUAAAAAAGUUUAAAAGAAGUCCGAGUCCGAUGUUAGAAUAAUUAAAACAAAAAACUGAUAAUGAUACACAAAUUAACAAAGACUACUAGCAGUUACUGACAUACCAGUUCCAGUACACAAUUAAAAUGAUUGAAAGAUUAUGUUUCAUCAUAUGAAAAUCAAGUAAAUUCCUCCCGUUAGGAGUUAAGUAUUAUACUAGCAUAAAAUAUAUGAAAAGAACAUAACCCGUAUCAUAAUCAACAACUGGUUUUAGAAUGAAUGUGUUAAUUACCGAUGCAAAAACCCUAUCAGUGAAUCAAUAUUAAUACUUAUGCAACCCUUAAUGACCUGAAAACAGUAUCGUUACUAUAUCCUUUCCGAAUACGUCUGUGAAAAUUUCUGAACUCUUAAUACGUGGCAUCAUAGUGUAAAAGCAAAGACUGGUCGGCACAGAGCCGGAAAUGUGUCCAGGUCUAGUGACGUUUCUUCAUGCGAACUAGUACAUUGUA